CGAACGCUGGCGGCGUGCUUACCACAUGCAAGUCGAACGGUGAAGCGCCUUCCUUUUUGGUGGGUGUGGAUGAGUGGCGAACGGGUGAGUAACACGUGAGUAACCUGCCCCCUUCUUCUGGAUAACCGCAUGAAAGUGUGGCUAAUACGGGAUAUUCUGGGUCUGUCGCAUGAUGGGUCUGGGAAAGAUAUUGUUUCGGUGGGGGAUGGGCUCGCGGCCUAUCAGCUUGUUGGUGGGGUGAUGGCCUACCAAGGCGGUGACGGGUAGCCGGCCUGAGAGGGUGGACGGUCACACUGGGACUGAGACACGGCCCAGACUCCUACGGGAGGCAGCAGUGAGGAAUAUUGCACAAUGGGCGCAAGCCUGAUGCAGCGACGCCGCGUGAGGGAUGGAGGCCUUCGGGUUGUGAACCUCUUUCGCCAGUGAAGCAGGCCUGCCUCGUUUGUGGGUGGGUUGACGGUAGCUGGAUAAGAAGCGCCGGCUAACUACGU
rnacentral:rRNA from 1 species